rnacentral:rRNA from 1 species
CCUACGGGAGGCAGCAGUGGGGAAUAUUGGUCAAUGGAGGCAACUCUGACCCAGCAACGCCGCGUGAAUGAUGAAGGUCUUCGGAUUGGUAAGUUCUGUGUUUAUGGAUGUACACAAUGACGGUACCCCAAUAUCAAGCCACGGCUAACUACGUGCCAGCAGCCGCGGUAAUACGUAGGUGGCAAGCGUUAUCCGGACUGACUGGUCGUAAAGGUUGCUUAGGUGGUUUAGUAAGUUGGCGGUGUAAUUCCGGGGCUCAACCGCGUCACUACCGCCAAAACUAGUAGACUAGAGUGCAGGAGAGGUAAGUGGAAUUCGUAGUGUAGCGGUGGAAUGCGUAGAUAUUAGGAGGAACAUCGGGGGCGAAGGCGACUUACUGGACUGUAACUGACGCUGAGGCACGAAAGCGUGGGGAGCAAACAGGAUUAGAUACCCCUGUAGUC